rnacentral:rRNA from 1 species
GCAGUAGCCGCGGUAAUACAGGGGAUGCAGGCGUUAUCCGGAAUGAUUGGGCGUAAAGCGUCUGUAGGUGGCUUUUCAAGUCCGCUGUCAAAUCCCAGGGCUCAACCCUGGACAGGCGGUGGAAACUACCAAGCUAGAGUACGGUAGGGGCAGAGGGAAUUUCCAGUGGAGCGGUGAAAUGCGUUGAGAUCGGAAAGAACACCAACGGCGAAAGCACUCUGCUGGGCCGACACUGACACUGAGAGACGAAAGCCAGGGGAGCAAAUGGGAUUAGAACCCCUGUAGUCCCUGUCUCUUAUACA